AAGGCCUUGGCUUAAUUAAAGUGUCUGUUUUGCAUACAGGAGAUGUGGGUUAGUGUCCCGCAGGUCUUA
rnacentral:tRNA from 1 species